rnacentral:rRNA from 1 species
GACGAACGCUGGCGGCGUGCUUAACACAUGCAAGUCGAACGGAAAGGCCCUGCUUUUGUGGGGUGCUCGAGUGGCGAACGGGUGAGUAACACGUGAGUAACCUGCCCUUGACUUUGGGAUAACCUCAGGAAACUGGGGCUAAUACCGGAUAUGAGCUCCUGCUGCAUGGUGGGGGUUGGAUAGUUUCGGCGGUUGGGGAUGGACUCGCGGCUUAUCAGCUUGUUGGCGGGGUAGUGGCUUACCAAGGCUUUGACGGGGAGCCGGCCUGAGAGGGUGACCGGCCACAUUGGGACUGAGAUGCGGCCCAGACUCCUACGGGAGGCAGCAGUGGGGAAUAUUGCACAAUGGGCGGAAGCCUGAUGCAGCAACGCCGCGUGCGGGAUGACGGCCUUCGGGUUGUAAACCGCUUUCGCCUGUGACGAAGCGUGAGUGACGGUAAUGGGUAAAGAAGCACCGGCUAACUACGUG